UUUGCAGUCCCCUAACCUGAUCAACGUCUCUUCAAGAGCUUUAGCACGAGGGAGUGAAAGAAAGGCUCAAGAGAUGAGACACAUCAGAAUAGCCCUCUGGUUCUGCAUGGCAAACAAUGAAGGGCCAAUAAAGGGAAGGGAUAGUUCAGAUUUCUCAAGAGGUAGAGGUAGAGGUAGAGGAAAUUCUGGUGGACAAGAUUCGUUUAAUGGCACUCCAAGAGCGUCUCCUUCAAAUGCUGAUAAUAAUCAUCAGCAGGUAAAAGACAGUGACAGUAUGGCAUGUCCAAUUUGUUCAAUGGAAUUCAAAAUGGGCAAUGAACUAGAGAAUCAUGUUGACCGCUGCCUUAUGGGUCAAACUGAACCUGUUGUAACCAGAAGUAGAGACCAAUCUAAUGCUCCAGGUAAAAAAAGGCCAUUAGAUCCAGUAAGUGACAGUCCAGAAUUACUAAGACCAAAUGAUAGAGAUCGAAUUUACAACAUUGACAGCUCUGAUGAAGAAACAAGUUCUAUCGUUCCACCCAAGAAAGAGAGGCGGUAGUAUUCUCAAGUUCUCAAGGCUGUUUUUCUUGCAGUUCAAGAAUAUGUGUCACUUGUUACCAGGGUCAACAUACGUUUUAUUAUUGUUAAGUAGUUUUUCAAUUCGUUCCUAUAUUGUUCAGUUUCCCUCUGUGAUUACUCAAUUGGUGAGGAUUGGGUUACAUAGAUAUUCUUUAAUGGGUCUGUUGUAUUUGAGAGAUACAACUAACCGAUUUCACCUCAUCAUGAUGAACAUUACAUGAAAAUCACAAUAAGGACAGCAGGAAUGUCUAAAAUUCAAGCCUGAAUGCACAAUCAGCGCAGUUCAUGUAGAAUUUUUUCAGAUUUAGCGUAGCGGAACGCUGUUUUUGUCAGGUCCUGGAAGUCAGGUUUGUCCAGAGAAAGGCGUAAAAAACCCAACCUACAUAAACAAGCAAUCCUUUACAUAUUGAUGGUGAAACUUUCAAUCCACAUAUCUCAUCCUGCAGAGUUACUGACCUCCUGUCUUACUUUAUUUUUAAAUAGAUACAGUAAGAAAAUUACUUUCAUUCUUGAAAACUGCUGUGAUUUUUCCUCUAGAAGAAAUUUCUGUGACAACUUCAAGAAAUGAUGUUGAUUUGUUAGCCUUUAAAAAAUUAAGCAGAGAUUGUAAAACAUUGCAAACAAGAUACGUCGUUUGCGAGCUUCCUCGUUGAUAUUCAACAUAUCCUUCUCUUGUAUGUUCAAUGGGUUAAAAACUUUUGUCAUAGCAAUGCAAAGAACAAGAAGGGAAAAAAGCGAUUGUAAUCAUAUGUCUUGUAAAUUUUCUUCUAUCCCUCUCUGGAUGGAUGUGACUGCCAAGAACUAAAAAAACUGUCCUCGGACGCAGAAAUUUUGAAACAGUGUAUUACAAACUUUUACAUUGUGCGUGAUUGAGUAAAUUUUAGACAUUACUGAUGUGUUCAACAAGAUUUUGUAACCUCUAACCUUCAGAAAGCCCAGCUAGCAGUAUCUUCUGUGAUAAUUUGAGAUAACACAACUGUGUCAAAAAUUUCACAACACUUCUUUCAAGUCACUCAAUUUUUAAAAAGAGAAGAAGCGACAGCACAACCAGGGAUAAUUUGAUCCUGGAUAAUCAGGGUUGACUGUAUUUUUUCUUAUUAUCUAGACUCUUUCUUUUGUGUAACUUGCUCUGCUGAGUUUAAAUGUAGAAGACACUGGAUGUGAGUUUCUUGAUUUCGAAAUUUCUUAAGAUAGCUGUUCAAAGUGCAAAACUUUACAGAAUGUCCAAAUUGCUCAAGUAUUAAGAAUUAGUAUGACACUGAAACAUGAAAGAAGUUUUGAAAAAAAAUGUGCUAAUCAAAACGUUGAUGUUACAUUAUGUUAAUUUCUUCCUCUUUUUAUGUAGGCUAAAGUAUUUUAUAGUUAAGUUUUCUCUUUUUCCUUCUUAGUCUUAAUUUUUUGAAGUCUUACAUGGAAAUUUCAAAUUAUGAUUCACGGGAAAUAUUUUUCAUUUGUUAACACACUUUUUUAAUUUUUUAACACUCACUAGUUGGGUUUUAUCUCUUCUGUACAACCAACUCAUGGUUCUUACUAACUUCCAAGAAAAAUAGUUUUUGUAUUCCAUAGGGCUGUGCAAAUAGUGAAUUUUCCGAACGAAGCGAAUAGCGAGUAAUUUCGGCAACUAUUCGCGAAUAGCAAAUAAUUUAAGUCAAUUAUUCACAGCUACGAAUAGUAAAAGGAAUAAUUUGAAAUGACUUUUUUAAGUGUGAAAAUUCGAAAAUAUUACAAAAGUCGACAAAAAACGUGGGUUUAAUUUUAUAAGAAUUUUCCAUUUGCUCAUACACCUGCUCAGAAAACAAUGAAAUGUUAUGAUAGUAGCCUAGGCUGUUAAGAAUGUGUGUGAAGAUCCCUGGAUGCUGGCUUGACUGCCCCUGCAUGUACGUCUCGAAUGGAAGAGGAAGCCUUGUGCAGAUCAUCACAACGUUUCACGAUUGCCACUCGGAAAUUCGUUAUUUUUGAUGGCGCAAACGUUUGAAAAUUCGUUCCUCGUGACAGCGCGAAUAUUUGAAAAUGUCAGUUCAAAAUUCACUAUUCGCGAUGGCGCGAUUAUUCGCACUUUGCGAAUAGUGCAUAAGACAGAUGAAGGGAAUAUUCGCACAGCCCUAGUAUUCCAACAAGCAGUGUAAGGAUAUUGUGAAAGAAAACUGCCCCCUCAGAACUUAAUUGAAAAUGGUAGACAGGUCAAUUUUUUCUUUCACUCAGGCUUUACUGCUUGCAUGAUGACUUUUAGUGUAUCUUUUGAAGGAAUUUGUAAUUCCAUUUAUACUGAAGCUCCCAAGAGUCCUCCCCCGGUAAUUAAAGUUCUCUCUGUAUGUCUCUCAUCUUAUUCUGCUAUAAAGUUUUAUUUUCAUAUCCCUUAUUCCUAUGUUGAGCUUCAAAGUUGCUGUUUAUAAAAGUAUCACUGAUUUUACAUCGCUCCUCUGAAUGCCGAUGUUCAGAAAGAUUCUAGGAAUUGGCCAUUUUUCCGAUUCUUUUUAGGCGCUUUUUUUCUACAAUUUCAUAAAUAGUGAGGUGAGCUAUUCAAUGUUUCUGAAAAUAGAAUUAGGAGAAUAUUAUUUUGUGGUUAUUUUCCAAGAAAAAUGGAAUCGUGUGGAAUCGCGGUUGUUUAAAUAUGUAAGUCAUUGAUGUAUACCACAAAUAUGCUUACAAUUUAUGUGCCUUACCAUACAAAACGAAUGAAGUUUUAUUUUGUUUAAAUAUAUAUCUCAGUUCUAUAGUGCAUUAAGUAAAUGUUUAUCAUUCCUUGCUUCCCAACAUGUGAAGUCAGCUUUUUCAAUUGAUAUUUCGUCAUUUUGUUCUGCUGCGCAUUGAUUCAUUUUAUUUUAAAUAUUCCUUUUUUUCCAUUUCAACAGGUUGCAUUUAUUUUUGUACCAUUUGUAUUCAUAUUUUAUUACCCUUGGUUUCACUCAGUUGUGAAGCUUUUUUGUUAAGUUUUCUCCAGGUUCUCAAUUUUCUACUUAGUAAAGUGAAAAUGUUUUCAUUACUUGUGAAAGAAACUCCUUACUCUGACAAAUUCAAGAUAUAUUAUUAUGAUCUAAAAUGUCCUGACAUUUUUUACCCUCCCCUACCGUUGCCUUGAAUUCACUCGCAAAUGCAAGAGUCUCUCAGGUCACUCUGGUCAUUGUAGUAUAAUUGGACGUAUUUCUGUCAAACAGAACUAUGUGCAUUAUGACGUGAGCCCUGUUAUGCAUGUAUUCUCAUGGAUCUCAGGGCUCAUUGCUCAAUGCACAUAGUUCCGUUUGAUAGAAAUACGUCCGAUUGAGCUUUUCACCCAGAGAAUUAGAAAACAAAUAUUCGUCAGUAGAGAUAGCAUUCUUGAAGAUAUCAAAGAUGCAUGGCUCAAGGAGGUUAAGUAUGAACAGCAUUCUAAGUCUCAUUUAAUUGUCCAUUGACAACAAUUGUCCAUUUGAAAAGUGACUGAAAUCUAUCCAAGUAGCACAGAUAGCAACCAAUUGCAAUUGCACCAUAAAAUUAUUACUAUUUUAUCAAAGAGUUGUGUAUGCCAUCCAUUCAAUGAUGGAAAGGGCUCCUCUUAUUGAAAUUUAUGGCAAUAAAAUUAAAAUAAGUAGCAAUUGUUUUUGCAUUGCAAACUG
rnacentral:lncRNA from 1 species